rnacentral:tmRNA from 1 species
GGGGGCGAUUGGUGUCGACAGGGAAGCGGUUGGCUUAAGUUGCGAGCCGAGGCGCCGCUGGCCUCGUAAAAAGCGGCAAAACAAUAAACGCGAAUACAAAUUACGCACUCGCUGCUUAAUUAAGCGGCCAUCCGACCGUCCUCAGCCGGUGUGGGCGGACCCGGGUGUAACCUUAACCGGCUAGCUCGACAUUUUAAGUCCGGCAACUGUCGAGGACCACCUUACGGACUGGGGCCGAUAGAUCUCGCCCGCAGGAGCUUAAGGCCCGAGAUUAAAGUGCGGGAUACGCUCGUAGACGCUUUUGUUCACCCUUCUUUGGACCCGGGUUCGAGUCCCGGCGCCUCCACCA